UGGUGUGUGAACCAACACUGCAUGGAAACAACACUAACAUGAACACACAAGAGAAAACAGGUAAGAUGUCUUAUGAUUCACAAUUAAUUAAUUAUCUUUAAUUCAUUCAAAAUAAUUUGCCUAUAAAAUCAUUUGUACUAAUAUGAAUGUAAUGUGGUAAAAUAACAGAACCAGAAAAGAUUGGAUCUCUACAUUCAACAGUGCUCGGUUUGGGAACGGCUUUGGGUUUGUGUGCACUUCUGAUUUUCUGCCUCAUUUAUUUCAUACUGAGGAGAAGAAAAUGUGAAAACUCUAGAAUGAAAGCUUGUAUAGAAAAUUCUCCGGGAAUGAGGCAGGAAUCUGAAGCUGAACCACUGAAUUAUGCAGCUGUGCAAUUUACCAAGAGGAAAGCCAAAGCUGAAAAAAAGAAAACUGGCUCAGCAGAUGAGUGUGUGUACUCCGAUGUGAAGAAAACUGUAAGAUGUAACAGAAAUAAUUCAUAACACAUGGUAUUAUUACACUGCAUAAACAGUUAAAUAUUUUACCAAGUGAAAAUAUUUUGAUUAUAGGAAAAUGUACUCCAUAUUUUUCAUUACAUUGAUAUGAUAUCUGAUGCCAACAGAAAAAAAAAACAGAAAAGCCUAGAAAUAAUCCUACAUUUUACAGUUAUAUAUUAGUUUACACUAAUCUCAUUAUAAGAGUUAUAUUAAAGUU